rnacentral:rRNA from 1 species
UACGAAGGUGGCAAGCGUUGUUCGGAUUUACUGGGCGUACAGGGAGCGUAGGCGGUUGGGUAAGCCCUCCGUGAAAUCUCCAGGCUUAACCUGGAAAGUGCAGAGGGGACUGCUCGGCUAGAGGAUGGGAGAGGAGCGCGGAAUUCCCGGUGUAGCGGUGAAAUGCGUAGAGAUCGGGAGGAAGGUCGGUGGCGAAGGCGGCGCUCUGGAACAUUUCUGACGCUGAGUAUCGAAAGCGUGGGGAGCAAACAGG